UAAACGACUCUCGGCAACGGAUAUCUCGGCUCACGCAUCGAUGAAGAACGUAGCAAAAUGCGAUACUUGGUGUGAAUUGCAGAAUCCCGUGAACCAUCGAGUUUUUGAACGCAAGUUGCGCCCGAAGCCUUCUGGUUGAGGGCACGUCUGCCUGGGUGUCACGC
rnacentral:rRNA from 1 species